AGAUGUGAUCAUAGCAGCACUAAUGCACCGGAUCCCAUUAGAACUCCGCAGUUAAGCGAUUCGCUUUUUUCAUAGCAGCAC
rnacentral:rRNA from 1 species